CCUACGGGUGGCUGCAGUAGGGAAUCUUCCACAAUGGGCGAAAGCCUGAUGGAGCAACGCCGCGUGGGUGAAGACGGUCCUCUGAUCGUAAAACUCUGUUGUUAGAGAAGUAAGUGCGUGAGAGUAACUGUUCACGUUUCGACGGUAUCUAACCAGAACGCCACGGCUAACUACGUGCCAGCAGCCGCGGUAAUACGUAGGUGGCAAGCGUUAUCCGGAUUUAUUGGGCGUAAGGGGAACGCAGGCGGUCUUUUAAGUCCGAUGUGAAAGCCUUCGGCUUAACCGGAGAAGUGCAUUGGAAACUGGGAGACUUGAGAGCAGAAGAGGAGAGCGGAACUCCAUGUGUAGCGGUGAAAUGCGUAGAUAUAUGGAAGAACACCGAUGGCGAAGGCGGCUUUCUGGUCUGUAACUGACGCUGAGGUUCGAAAGCGUGGGUAGCAAACAGGAUUAGAUACCCGGGUAGUC
rnacentral:rRNA from 1 species